ACGUAUGUGUCAAUCGUUUUCCUUAUUUAUUUUGUUUAAAGUGUGCGUAGUCUGCCAUUUAAGUCAGUGCUGAAAUACUCUAGCUUAACUAGAGGGGUGGCAUUGAUACUGAACGGCUUGAGUGAAGUCGAGGUAGGCGGAAUUGACGGUGUAGCGGUGAAAUGCUUAGAUAUCGUCAAGAACACCGAUAGUGAAGACAGCUUACUAGACUUCAACUGACGCUGAGGCACGAAAGUGUGGGGAUCAAACAGGA
rnacentral:rRNA from 1 species